rnacentral:lncRNA from 1 species
UCUUCAGACUCAUCAAAACCCUUUGGAGAGCUCCGCCGUCGUUUUGAAGUAGCACCACCUUUCCCCACCCAACAUGAGGGCCAAGUGGAAGAAGAAGCGUAUGAGGAGAUUGAAGAGGAAGCGCCGAAAGAUGAGGCAGAGAUCGAAGUAGGCACCUUUGGGGUCUCAAUCUGCAUCAAGCUUCUGGUGGAGUUUUGUAGACUGGAGCCUGUAGGAUGUUUAUGAGUGAUUAAUUCCUUUCUCUCGUAGAUUGGGAUUAUGACUAUCUUAUGUUAUGUUUUAAAUUUCAAGUCUUUUAAUUGUGUGUUUGGAACUUAAUGGCCCUACUAGUUUUAUCGAGUUUUUAUGCAACUUCAUGGAUCUUAUGAUGCUCAAGCUUUCGGUUUUUAAUUUAUCAUAUUAUGGGUUGCGUGUUCUUAUGGUUCCAAGCUUUUAUUGUAGUUGAUUUAUGAUGUUGUUGGUGGGAUUAUGUUACCUGUUGAAGUUUAGAUCUUUUAAUAGCUCAUGAGAUGUUGUGCAUACCAGCCUCUUAGAACUUAUAAGAACUUUUAUUGGAAAUUCAAAGAACUUGUGAUGUACAUCAUCUUCAAAUUUA